rnacentral:rRNA from 1 species
ACGAACGCUGGCGGCGUGCUUAACACAUGCCAGUCGAACGAAGAGCGAUGGAAGCUUGCUUCUAUCAAUCUUCGUGGCGAACGGGUGAGUAACGCGUAAUCAACCUGCCCUUCAGAGGGGGACAACAGUUGGAAACGACUGCUAAUACCGCAUACGAUCUAAUCUCGGCAUCGAGGAUAGAUGAAAGGUGGCCUCUACAUGUAAGCUAUCACUGAAGGAGGGGAUUGCGUCUGAUUAGCUAGUUGGAGGGGUAACGGCCCACCAAGGCGAUGAUCGGUAGCCGGUCUGAGAGGAUGAACGGCCACAUUGGGACUGAGACACGGCCCAGACGCCUACGGGAGGCAGCAGUGGGGAAUCUUCCGCAAUGGACGAAAGUCUGACGGAGCAACGCCGCGUGAGUGAUGACGGCCUUCGGGUUGUAAAGCUCUGUUAAUCGGGACGAAAGGCCUUCUUGCGAAUAGUGAGAAGGAUUGACGGUACCGGAAUAGAAAGCCACGGCUAACUACGUG